rnacentral:lncRNA from 1 species
GUCAUAAAAUUGGGUUAUAUGUCAGUAGUCCCUAACAAUGAUUUGACAAGAAUCUCAAGUUCUUGAUCUACUUUGAAAGCAUGAAACUUGAAAUAAGAGAAGACAGACAAUUUAUAACUAAGAUUUCUUGGAUUUAAUAUAGUUAUUAUAGCCAACAAGAUAGGAUUUUCUGGGACAUUCUUGAGUAAAAGUAAUUAUUACCCAGUAAUGAUAUUUAUCAGGCCAUAUGUUCUAAUUUUGGCUUGGAAACUGACUAAAUGUAAAGUGUGUGGAGCAGUAGUGGGCAGAGGGAACCAGCUCCGGAGCUGCAAAACCAGCCUGGCAGUCACCGGCAUAACAUCCUUGGAGCUAUCAUUUGUUUUCACUUGCAAUCUACAGCUUGGAGCAUGGUUGGUUCUAGAAACUCUCCAGCCAAAUUUACACCUGAUUAGCCCUGAGCUAACAUCUGCCGCCAAUCCUCCUCUUUUUGCUGAGGAAGACUCGUCCUGAGCUAACAUCUGUGCCCAUCUUCCUCUACUUUAUAUGUGGGAUGCCUGCCACAGCAUGGCGCGACAAGCACUGUGUAUACUGCGCCUGGGAUCUGAACCAGAGAAUCCUAGGCUGCUGAAGUGGAAUGUGCGAACCUAAGCACUACAUCACUGGGCCAGUCCCAAAAUAUUUGUAUAUAUAUUUUGUGAUUUCUUGUUCAGAGUCUAAUUCUAACAGAAGGCUCAGUUGUCUCUAUAAAGGUUUAUCUGUAAAGAUAUUUUCCAAGAAAGAUGUAGCCCUGAUUUUAAUGGGUGGUCUCAGCAGUGGCCUUUUUGUAUCAUACCUGUGGUUCACCACAGCAUGGUUCCCACAAGAUCCAGGAAAUUCAGCCCAUUAGCACAGAAAUGACAUUUGGUUUAGAUUGUAAGCUCUGAUAGCACAAGGGGCGUGUCUAUUUUCUUCAUUGUUAUUUGUACGGUUCUGAGUGAAGUGGCUGUUGCAUAAUAUAUAACUAUUAAGAGAAUGAACAAAUUCAGAUCCCCUGGGCUACCACUCCUCUGAGCUAGGAAGAACUUCAAUGAUGUUCACUACAUAAUAAAGGAAGAAAUCAGGAAACUUUAUUCAAGGUCUGUUUCUGACAUUAAUAAAAUGUGUGACCUCUUCAACUUUUUUCAUCUGUAAAGUGUAGUGAAUUGGAAGAGAUGAUUUGAAUGUUCCUUUAGGUGUAACAACCCAGAAAGAAGCAGAAAGAUGAUGACCAAAAUGACAGAGAUCAAUAUUAUCGGAUAGCAAAAGGCCUCAAGGGCUUACUUCAACAAAGUGCAUCCUGACAGUGGAAACUGACAACCAUCUCCCAGCGUGAAACACUAACUCUAUUGUAGCAGCUGGAGAUGGAGAUGUGGAGGUCAUCAUGACCACAAGUAUGUCAGGGUCAAAAAGCACCAACAGCAACAAGUCUUAAA